ACAAAUAAAAAAUAAGUUCUCAAAAUACAUAAGAAUUUAGAACGAUAAAAUUAGCUUCGACUCGACACAAUAGGAUUCUUGUACCUCUUUCGGUUAUGGCCCGCUUCGUUGCACCGCCCACAUUUUAUAGUUCUCAUGUCUACAUCCUCACUAACAGAGGGUAUUCUGAGCUCUGGGCGACGACCAGAUGAUGAUGCUUCUAUUGGUGGGUUAACCUUGAUUGCUCGAAUUUCCUCCGGAACCUCCCAAUCUACCAUGUCGCCAACGGG
rnacentral:lncRNA from 1 species